rnacentral:rRNA from 1 species
GGAGGAAAAGAAACCAACAGGGAUUGCCUCAGUAACGGCGAGUGAAGCGGCAAAAGCUCAAAUUUGAAAUCCCCCGGGAAUUGUAAUUUGAAGAGAUUUGGGUCCGGCCGGCRGGGGUUAAGUCCACUGGAAAGUGGCGCCACAGAGGGUGACAGCCCCGUGAACCCCYUYAAMGCCYUCAUCCCAGAUCUCCAAGAGUCGAGUUGUUUGGGAAUGCAGCUCUAAGUGGGUGGUAAAUUCCAUCUAAAGCUAAAUACCGGCGAGAGACCGAUAGCGAACAAGUACAGUGAUGGAAAGAUGAAAAGCACUUUGAAAAGAGAGUGAAAAAGUACGUGAAAUUGUUGAAAGGGAAGGGCUUGCAAGCAGACACUUAACUGGGCCAGCAUCGGGGCGGCGGGAAACAAAACCACCGGGGAAUGUACCUYUCGAGGAUUAUAACCCCGGUCYYWWUUUCCUUGUUGCCCCGAGGCCUGCAAUCUAAGGAUGCUGGCGUAAUGGUUGCAAGUCGCCCGUCUU